ensembl:lncRNA
AUCCACAGUUUUGAUGACAGUUAUGUGACAGGCAGCUACACAGGAGGAGCAGAACAUUUAGCGCACGGUGUCCUACGGAGCAACAGCUGCCAGUCAGACAGCAGUGGCUUUCUAGAGGAGCCAUUCGUCCCCCUUCUCAUCAAGCAGGCGUCACCAGGAGCCGACCUCAUCCAGGUCUCACAAGUACACACUCAGACCCCCUGUAUGCAAAUGAUCCACACUGGCUGGGUGAGAGACAUAAUAGAUCUGUGUCCUCUGUUUGGUUCCAGGCUCUGUCCGGCCUGUCCGGGGACACUGAGACGCCACCCCCCCAUACCCCUGCAUCUCUCACCUCGUCUGCUGUUGACUCGCCCAGUCUUUCACCAAAGCCUUCAUUAGACUUUGACCCCUCCCCAUGUCCAUUCUCCUUGUGUCUCCCAAACUCUGACCAGCACAAUUCAGAGAGGGAAACACAACCAGAACCGGAUCAGUCUCCAGCUGCUUCACUCUCCACGUCGGUGUGUGAGUACUCUCAAGAGCUUGCAAUGCCUGCUGCUUCUGUCCUGACUGAGGACAAGGAGACACUGUCCUCCCACGUCCCUGCUGUACUGCACGGCUCCGAAGGCCCAGCAUGCUCUCCCUGUCCAAGUGUUGCUCCUCUUGCCUCAUAUCCUUUUCCUUCUCCAAAUUUGGAUCGUCCGUUUUCCCUGUCAACCGUUACGUCUUGCACGCGGUCGGCCUCCUCUUCCAGGAGUCCAGGCGACCCUCAUUCAGAACAGACUGGAGUGGCUCUGCACAGAAACUCAUCAUCGCUAUCAUCUCAGCUUCAGCCAUCUGCCCCCCAUGAUUUUCAUUGUCCCACCCCACUAAAAGAGACCCUCUCGCAAGAUGCGGAUGCGGAAAAGCAUCAUAGGGAUUCCGUGUUGGAAGACUCCGAAGCAAUAGGCCUCUCUGAUCCAUCUACCAGUUCACAGAAGGAUGAGGAAGAAACACCCUCCUCUCUCUCCUUCCAGUUGGAAAAAGACAACGUCUCUGCUUCAUCCUCUCUCAUUCUGGUGUCCUCUGAGGACCCUUCCUUUCCAGUUGGUCAUCCUGCCUUGCAGUCUCAUUUAGGUGAUCCGGAGGGUCUGAUCGAUCCAGCUGCUGCAGGAACCUCAGACCUUUCAGCGCUGUCCACCUGCCGACGUGAUAUUAGCACAGAGCCUGCUCCGACUCCCCGAGCCCAAGACAUGAUUCAUGAUACAAUGAAUCUCUUCUUCUUGGACUUUGAAGACACCGACCAGAGGUGUGGAAAGGGAGCAGCAGGGGCUGAAAGGCUCACUGACACUGUGCAGACGCAGAAGAAUGUUGUUUACAUCUCAGAUACAGAGAGUUCUGGGGGCCUGUCACAAGGUUGUAGAGUAGUCUCUGAGGAAGUAUGUAACCAAACAGAAAUAGAUCCACAGCUCCUAUCAACUGGAACCCAACCGGAACAUUGUCAGGGAGGAGGUAUUGGCUCGGAAAACAAAUCACUCAGCAGUUCUUUGAUUUUACAUAAUUGUAGAGCUGAAGUUCAACCAAAGGAUCUAAUCAAGGUUGAGAGCUUAGAUGAGAUCUUCCAGACCUCCGUGGAUAGUUCUGAAGGUGACACUGGAGAUGUGGAUGCCUUUUUUCAGCAGCUUGAUACUGAAGGACGAGCCUAUUGGGCAGAACCCAUCCAGGUUUCAAAUCCGAGUCCUGUACUCGAAGAGUCAGUCAGCGUCGAAAGCUCAGGCGGAUCUCCUGGGAGUUCUCCGUUGCCUAGUGGCCCAGCUCUUCUGGACCUGAUGCCCUCCACCGGCAGAGCUAUGCUUUUGUCUCCGUCAUCCUCAACAACGAUGGACACUGACCAGAUGUCAAGAAAUAAAGCCGCCUCCCCAGUGGCCCCAGCUCCGGUCCCGACCCCCUCCUUAAGCCCAGACCUCAAGACAUCUAGCCGCUCCGUUUCUGUCCAGAUGUCUUCUUCCCCAUCGUCUCAUAUAGUCCAGCGGAAGGACGUUCCCUAUAUUACGGACUCUAAACGCACGCUUCUGUCUAGUUUCCUCUCUUUGGACACGUCCACCCCUUUCCGUGCUGUGCAGUCAUGGACUGACCUUCAGAUCCAGCGAAGCCCUCUCACCACCAACUUCUCUCAGUGGGGCCUUCAUACUUCCCCAAAGGAUGUAACCGUAUGCACUAGUGCCACAGAAACAUCACAUGACUGUGAGCAGACUGAACAUCAGCACACCACGUCGCUCUCUGUGGACAAAGGGCUGUGGCUUGAUGAGGAGGUGGACAGGAACGGAUAUGAAGAAGAGGGCAAGCUCUGGCGGGAGGAUCACAGGGCCACCACGUCGUGUUGCUGCUCCUGUGACCAUCAGUGUAACGGCGCCACUCAGAAGAGAGACAACAUUCCUUUCUCCCUGGAUGAGCUGGAGGAGAUGAUGCAGUGUCUGCAGCACUUCUGCUCUGUUCUCAGCGACAUGGAGGAGCAGCUCUCUGAGGACCAGGCGGCGGUUUACGGCGCCCUCUCUGACCCGGACAGGGAGAUGGUCCAGGACGUAGAGGAGCUGAGGCGGGCAGUGAAGCAGGAGGCUGGACAGCUGGAGAUGCAGUUGAAUGAACUGGCCGAUCAUUAUGAUGACAACUUGAAAAGGAAGAUGCACAGGCUGUUGGAUGAGCAGUCUCUCCUCUGCUCUCAACUCAAAGUCUCUCUACCUGGGGCGGGGCCCACGGCGCAGAGACCCGCCCCCAAGCGGACAGCUGCCACUCAGUGCUGUCCAGUGGAGGAGCAGCGCGGCCCCCCGUCCGCCUGGAGGGGCUGGGAUGUGAGCUCCCUCCUCCAGUCAAAGUGCAUCUGUGAGGCCCGGGGCAAGAAGGACCAGCUGGACAUGAUGGCUGUCCUCCAGAGAUUGAAGGAGUCUUUGCAUCAUUCUGUGAACACAGACUAAUAAAAGGUGAGGUUUUUUGUAAUAUGAAUUAAUGAUCAUUGUUGAAGUCUACUGUUCAGUAAACUUGUGUGUUAAAAAACAUACAUAAAGUUAAUAACUCUCCCUUCAAACUCAAAGAGUCCUAAAAAUCUUAAAUGCAGAAGCAAUAUUCCAAAGGAGUCUUCUGAUGGUCUUUGCUUGGUGGGGCUGUGGGCGCAUCCCAGUUAGCUCCUUCCAACCAAUCCCCAAUAAAAAGGCCUCAUCCUGCUCCUGUGGUUAUUUAAAGGUGUGUGCAGUACCUGUAGUACGUGUAGUACAUGUUCUCGGUACUCUGUACCUUCCUUGCCUCAGCCCUGUGGAGUGACUGUUAGUGACUUGCUGCUUGUUGUUUGGCCUCUGCUUUCAUUUAUAGUGGUGAAUCAACAGGGUUUGUUCAGUUUAUUUUCGCUCGGUAGAGUCCAAGCUCCUGUGUUGGCUCCCCACCCCUGAUG